rnacentral:rRNA from 1 species
UACGGAGGUGGCAAGCGUUGUUCGGAAUUACUGGGCGUAAAGGGCGCGUAGGCGGCAGGGCAAGUCAGGUGUGAAAGCCCCGGGCUCAACUCGGGAACUGCAUCUGAAACUGCUUUGCUUGAGUCCUGGAGGGGGUAGUGGAAUUCCCAGUGUAGCGGUGAAAUGCGUAGAUAUUGGGAGGAACACCGGUGGCGAAGGCGGCUACCUGGACAGUGACUGACGCUGAGGUGCGAAAGCGUGGGGAGCAAACAGG